UUUGGACAAAUUGCCAUGGGAGGAGAGCUAUAGUUGCUAUAAUUAGUAAUCUUUGGGGAGCCCCAAUUGCACAUUUGUAUUGUGUCAGAAACAUUUAAUUGAAUGAAAUAGUUAAUUUCUAAUUAAAAAAAUAAUAUAACCUUGAGAGUCAAUGAUGACGUUAAUGAGAUCCAAAUAACACAAAAGUGGCAUAUAUUAUCUAAACAUGUAUCUGCUACAGUCUGAGAUUCAGAACCCUAAAAUAUCAUAAUAUUUGACCUUUAAACAGUUGAUUUCUCCCGCUUUUUGAUUUUUUUAGGUUUCAUACUUAUACCAUCUUAGAAUUUAUGAUGUUGUUCAGGAAGUUGUACAUAAAGAAGAACAUAAUCACAAGCAACAAAAUCAAAGAUGAAUUCCUUUGCCACGUCAGUUUCCAAUAGAGGAAGACUUUUGGAGGUGCUACAACCAGCUAUGGAAAUAUUCAACAUGUUCAUAAAGGGGAGAAACCUGUGUUCUUUUGUAACCACAUACUAUUUGGUGAAUGGUGCUUUAAAAAUAACAUAUUCAUAUGGGGUAUUUAUUUUUAUUUUUUUAAAAAUAUUCAUCACGAAGGUUAUGGAUUCUUGAUUAGUAUAUGCAACCAGGAGAGCUUGAAGUCAAAAUCUAUUGUUAUUAAAUCAUUUCUUCUUGCUAGGUAGGUUAGGAAGAUGUGGUAUAUAGAUGGUAUAAAUACAGGGAUUAAUAAGACUCUCAUUUGAGUUAACAUCUCUAAACUUUUGCAUUUUUCUUUACUUCUUUAGGUAUACACACACACACACACACAUAAAUACACACAUAUACAUACAUGCAUAUACAUACGUGCAUAUGCAUAUGUACACACAUACAUAUGUGUGUAUACAUAGAUAUGCACAUAUUUUCUCUAUUGAAGUAAGGAUAUUAUCUGUUUGCAGAAAUAAUCCUAUUAUUUAUUUUACACAGUUAUGUGGAUCUAAGUAAUGGUCACACAUGUUAAAGUGUUAAAUAUUCUUUUCAAAAUUUAGUAUUUACUGAAAUACUUUGUAUAGCCUCAUUUUUGAUAGACAGUUCUGUUUUUUAUUUUCAGUCUUAUAAAAAUGUACAUAAAGGAUGGUUCAAGUUCAAGUGGGACACUCAUUUCACAAAGUGGGACUGAUUAUAAUGUUCUAUGACAUGUUAGUCAACAAGUAUUUAUUAAAUUGUUUACCAUGUGCCAAACACUGUGUUAAUUGCUUGGUUACAAAGAAAGGCAAAAUCUGGUCUCUUUAAUAGUUUUUGAAGAUUCAUUCUGUAGCAAAAGCUAAUUUCUCUCUCUCUCUAUCUCCCUCCCUCGGUCUCUCCUCUCUCUCUGUGUCUGUCUGUCUGUCUCUCUCUCCCCUUGCUCUGAAUAUCUUAUUUAUCUCUGUCUUUCUGUAUCUUUUCUGUCUCUAUCUCUUCUCUGUCUCUUCUUUACACUUUUAUUCUCUUAUGCCUUCUUUUUAUGUAUGUUUAACCAAAUUAUUUUUUAUAUUUAUGAUUAAAAGUUAGUUUUAAAAAACUGAAGAAUGUAGUAUUCAAUUUCUAUAUUGACAAAUAAAUGUAAAUAGCACUUUAAGUUCUACCUCUUA
rnacentral:lncRNA from 1 species